AUGCCAGGGGCAAAAAGUCAUGCGUUUCAUGCUGGCAUGAAAAAGCAUGAAUUUGGGCCCCGAAAAACAUGAGAAAGUAGCCCGGCAGGGCGGAUUUCGAAUGUUUUGAAGAUUGCGGGAGCAUGAAAUGCGGAGCAAUCUUC
rnacentral:sRNA from 1 species